rnacentral:rRNA from 1 species
AGCUCCAAUAGCGUAUAUUAAUGUUGUUGCAGUUAAAAAGCUCGUAGUUGGAUUUCUGACAGAAGCGACCGGUCCGAAUCUUUUUAGGUUCGGUACUUGUGUUGUCUUUGGUCAUCCUUGUGGAGAACGUGUGUUGGCAUUAAAUUGUCUCGCAUGGGAUCCACAUCAUUUACUGUGAAAAAAUUAGAGUGUUUAAAGCAGGCAAUCGCUGUGAAUACAUUAGCAUGGAAUAAUAAGAUAGGACUUUAGUAAUAUUUUGUUGGUUUGCAUACUAAGGUAAUGAUUAAGAGGGACAGUUGGGGGUAUUCGUAUUUAAUUGUCAGAGGUGAAAUUCUUGGAUUUAUGAAAGACGAACUACUGCGAAAGCAUUUACCAAGGAUGUUUUCAUUAAUCAAGAACG